rnacentral:rRNA from 1 species
UGGGGAAUUUUGGACAAUGGGGGAAACCCUGAUCCAGCCAUCCCGCGUGUGCGAUGAAGGCCUUCGGGUUGUAAAGCACUUUUGGCAGGAAAGAAACGUCAUGGGUUAAUACCCCGUGAAACUGACGGUACCUGCAGAAUAAGCACCGGCUAACUACGUGCCAGCAGCCGCUGUAAUACGUAGGGUGCAAGCGUUAAUCGGAAUUACUGGGCGUAAAGCGUGCGCAGGCGGUUCGGAGAGAAAGAUGUGAAAUCCCAGAGCUCAACUUUGGAACUGCAUUUUUAACUACCGGGCUAGAGUGUGUCAGAGGGAGGUGGAAUUCCGCGUGUAGCAGUGAAAUGCGUAGAUAUGCGGAGGAACACCGAUGGCGAAGGCAGCCUCCUGGGAUAACACUGACGCUCAUGCACGAAAGCGUGGGGAGCAAACAGG